rnacentral:rRNA from 1 species
UACGUAGGUGGCGAGCGUUGUCCGGAAUUAUUGGGCGUAAAGAGCGUGUAGGUGGGAUAGUAAGUCUUAUGUUAAAGUGCGGGGCUCAACUCCGUGAUGCGUGAGAAACUGCUAUUCUUGAGUGCCGGAGAGGAAAGCGGAAUUCCCAGUGUAGCGGUGAAAUGCGUAGAUAUUGGGAGGAACACCAGUGGCGAAGGCGGCUUUCUGGACGGUGUCUGACACUGAGGCGCGAAAGCCAGGGGAGC